rnacentral:rRNA from 1 species
AACGAACGCUGGCGGCAGGCUUAACACAUGCAAGUCGAACGCAUCCUUCGGGGUGAGUGGCAGACGGGUGAGUAACGCGUGGGAACGUGCCCUUCAGUUCGGGAUAACCCAGGGAAACUUGGGCUAAUACCGGAUACGUGCGAGAGCAGAAAGAUUUAUCGCUGAAGGAUCGGCCCGCGCCUGAUUAGCUAGUUGGUGGGGUAAUGGCCCACCAAGGCGACGAUCAGUAGCUGGUCUGAGGGGAUGAUCAGCCACAUUGGGACUGAGACACGGCCCAAACUCCUACGGGAGGCAGCAGUGGGGAAUAUUGGACAAUGGGCGCAAGCCUGAUCCAGCCAUGCCGCGUGAGUGAUGAAGGCCUUAGGGUUGUAAAGCUCUUUCGUCCGGGACGAUAAUGACGGUACCGGAAGAAGAAGCCCCGGCUAACUUCGUGCCAGCCGCCGCAGUAA